rnacentral:sRNA from 1 species
CUUCUCCCUCUUAUCCACUCAGCAGUCCCUGCUGUCUCUCCUGGAGGAUGGAAGAUGCAGGUGACCUGCCCUGAGCUUCCCUCAUGAGUGAACAAACGCCAGCUCCGAGAGGUGGAUUCACAUGUCCAAGGUCACACAGCAAGAACGCAAUCAUGGUGCUCUUGGAAAUGCCCCCCUCCCCGUGGUUGUGUGCACGACUGACCCUGCACCUCUGGCCACUGUGAGGCCUCAAAAAUAUUGACUUUUCAAAAUGCCAAGCCAAAUCCAAGGUUGAAAGCCACAUCAGCCCAACCGCCUGGUAUGAUCUCCGAGCCGCCCCCUCGCCUCUGUCCUGAGUAAAUAUUUGCUCUCCAGACACCAGACUUGCCAAAGUAAGUUUAUCUUGAAGGCCCCUGUGACAGACAGUGUGCAGGCUACCAGCUCCUCUUCCUCCUCCUCAUUCCAAGCCCCCCGCAGUCCCGGCAUCUCCUGGUUAAAGGUGAGAGCCGGUUGCCUCCUCUGGCCCAGGCUCACCACCCUGUGCUAUGGAGGGUCAGAGGUUUGUAAUACAGCUGCUGAGUGACACCACCUGAGUCUGAGACAUGCUCAAAGAAUCCCAUUUGUAAAAGGAGAGGCUGAGGCCCAGAAAGCUGAGGCUGUGUGUGGUGGGCUGUCUCCCAGAGACACCCAGGAAUCCCAGUACACUUCCCAAAGUGCAUCAGGGUUGGUCUCUGAGCUCCACACAGUGAGGAUCCCUUUCCGAGGUGACUCUGGGCCAUGCCAUGUUGGAUGCUCAGGUGGAGAAGCCCACAGGGAAGAGAGUAGGGUUCCAGCUAGAAGCCAGCACCAUGGCUGGCCACUGGACAGAGGCAGGUAGCUGCCCCCAGUCAGACCCUGAGGACAGGCCAGCUUCCUGACUAGAGUUGCUGGGACACUAAAGGUUACUCAGCCAAGAUACCCUCAGUCUCCCGGUCAUACGUGCAAAGGUCCCAAGGCAAGCCGCAGAGGACUGUGGGGAUGAAGACACUGGGUAACAAUGGAAGGUGGACCUCUGACUGUGUGCCCAGCAGGUGAGAUGUCACCCUGCCCGCACCCCUGCCCGCACCCCUGCCUGCACAAGAAGAGCUAUGUCAGGGGAGAGCCAGUCCCCUUCUCCACCUGUGCCUUGCGCCUUCCCUGGCCUCCAGAGACUACUACGACCACAAUCACAGUGGGGGUGGGGGGGGUUUCUGGCCUCCACAAGGAAUUCACAGCAAACCCCUGUCUCAGAUCACUUCAUAGACUUCCCAGGUAACCAGGGAUAGACAGAAGACAGGAAAGGACAGACAAGGCCCACCCCCUCUGGCCCCAGAAAUGCUACCCCAGGAAUCUUUCGAGAACCGGAGGACCCAGGUGUGGCAGGCUAUCUAGACACAGACAUGGGGACCAUUCCAGCCUUUGGAGGGAAGAAUGGGGGGCCACGACGAGAGGCAUGAGACACAUCUAAAGUAAUCGCAGCUCCUGCCGAAAGGCUUCAGGAGGGACACAGCACCCAUAAUAUUUCUUAGAGACACUCAACACCCCAGAUGAAACACUGCCCCGUGGGGACGGACAGGUACCAUCUGCUUUGAAAACGCCUUAGACACACAGGUUUUAUGUCCUUCCCUGUCCUGGACAUCAUUUUAAAUGACUUGAAAGUGCUCAGAAUUAGGGAGGUGGGUGCGUGACUGUUGACCCCAGAGUUCAUGGAGAACGUCACAAUCCACCUCGGAAGGAAGAACACACAAGGGGCUGACGCUUAAAAACACAUCCAUCACAAAGUAUCCAAGUGGGACACAAGAAGCAGGGUGCUCGGCGGAAAGGGGCGGACAGGCUGGGGAGUACGGGGUUAUCUGGAUCCAGGGGCAGAGGAGAACUCCAUUACAUGGACCUGGUCUUUCCAGUAUCAGCCUGUAUUCUUCAUGGGAUUUUGCUUUGACUUAAAAAAAAAAAAGUACUUACAGCAUUAUUUAUCUUGACCACGGACAAUUUUGUUGCUUCCUGAUAAUAAGUUAUGGCCCCAUGGGCCGUGCCCUGCCCCCUACCCUGCACUGGACUGGCUAAAUCAAGUCACAAUCUGCAACUGGCUUUAACCAGUCACUGAGAAAGUAACUAAACCUCUCUGAUUUCUUUCGCAGAUGAAACCACCAAGUGUUUCCUUGUCAUGGACGUGGUUGGUUGGCCCCUUCCUGUCCCUACAUCACAAUGGCGCACUUGGUCUUUUGCCCAUGGGUCUGGCUCAGAGCUAUACAAAGGGUGACCAUAUACCUCAGUGAUCAGCCAGCGAAGAACUCAGAACCCAGGUCCCCUUGUCCACAGGGAGACUAGCCCGGGGUCAGUUGGGGACAGAGCUCACCAGACCCCUGUGUGUCCCCAACUCUGUCGCUGCUCAAGUCUAUGGCCAGGCCUCCACGUUAGCCCUGAGCUCAGGAGUCCCCAACGACUCAGCACACAGACACCAGCCCGAGUGAACUCUGUCCCCCGGCUCCUGUCAUCGCUGUCCCCCGAGUACUAGCUGUGACCAAACACCAAGCACCCUGUCCCACACCAUGUAUGAUGUCACAGACAGGGCGAUGAUGUCACUGUAGUGCAAUACCAUGUGACCUCACAGUGUUAAGCCAUUACAUCACCAAAUUACAUCACACACUACCCUGCGGCCUGUCGCUCAACUGUGUCUCAGUCACACCUCAUCUGCUCAUGCCAGCAAGAAGCUCCACCCACAUUUUACAGAUGGAGAGCACAAAGCAGGGAGAAGGGACAGAUGUGACCGGUCCAGUGUCAAACAGCGCAACACAGAAAGGCUGUGGAUCUCGGCUUUCGGCCUGCUUUGGAGAGACAAGAGCAGGAGAGAGCCGGGAGCCAGAUGCUGGCUGCUAGCUCCGGCUUCCAGUGUCACCACGUGUUCUGGGAGUUGGGCUAUAAAAAGCAUUACUCCUGAAUCUGGGGCAGCACAGGCGUCCCCCCAGAGGGCUGUUUCUGCAAAUGCUAUUCUCUCCAGGAAACUCUGGGGACGCCGCAGGCAUCCUGAAAGCAAACCGUAUCUUCCUUACAUAAGGAAUCUGCAAAACUGGAGACCUGUGGGGACCAGGAAGGAACUGAGGAUGCGGACCACAUUGUGACAUGGGGCAGAGAGCCUGCGGGUCUCACGAAGGGAAGAACUUGUCAGUCACUCAUUCAUUCAUUCACUCAUUCACUCAUUCAACAAAUGGUUAUUCCACAUACAUCCAAGCUGACAGGGAACAUAGCUGUGCUCACUCCCUGUGCAGCUCAGCCUCUCUAAAUCUACAGAAUUGAAAGAGAAGCUCUCCACCCCUUGCCGGGCCACCUCAAGCCCGGGGACCUGGGGUUGGGGGCACUGCUCCUUCCCAGAUCUGGAUUGAGCAUAUACCUUCAAGAUUUCUCGAUCUAGCAAAAGAGAAAGCCAAAAAGGAAAAGCUGACAUGUGCCUGUGACCCAAGAACUGGGGGACAGAAACAGAGAUGGCAAACCCAACGCAAUGAGGAGAUGGGUUAUCUGGGAGGGGUUUGGAUGGAUGAAUAGGAGUGCUUCCAGUACCGAGAUGGGAAUGGCCAGAAGUGUGGCCAUGUUUAGUCUUGACUCUGGGAGGUUGACAAACUACAUAUAUCCCUUCCCAGAGUGAAGGCCACAUCUUCUCCCUCCUCCUCGCUUCCCUCUGGCCAGACAGCCCUAGGCUAUUUCCCACUUUACCCAGGAGGUCUCUUCCCUCAGUCUCUUUCCGUUCCUUCCUGGGCCAUAAGACCAAGCUGAGGAAGUGGACUAUCACGCUGUUGAUAAGAGCGCUGUAAUAAAACCGUUACUCAGAGGUGUUCAGAUCUGAGAUCCGAC